AUUGCACGCUGGCGGCAGGCUUAACACAUGCAAGUCGAGCGAGCGGCGGCCGGGUGAGUAAUGUCUGGGAAACUGCCUGAUGGAGGGGGAUAACUACUGGAAACGGUAGCUAAUACCGCAUACCAUCUGAUGUGCCCAGUUGGGAUUAGCUAGUGGGUGGGUUAAUGGCUCACCUAGGCGCCGAGCCCUAGCGGGUCUGAGAGGAUGACCAGCCACACGGGAACUGAGACACGGUCCAGACUCCUACGGGAGGCAGCAGUGGGGAAUAUUGCACAAUGGGCGAAAGCCUGAUGCAGCCAUGCCGCGUGUGUGAAGAAGGCCUUCGGGUUGUAAAGUACUUUCAGCGAGGAGGCGUUACUCGCAGAAGAAGCACCGGCUAACUCCGUGCCAGCAGCCGCGGUAAUAC
rnacentral:rRNA from 1 species